GCAGGAGGCGGCGGCGGCGGCGGCGGCGGCGGCGCAGGGCGAGCGGCGCGGAGGGAGACUGUUGCUGCAGAGCAGAGAUGUCUUCUGGGCAUGACGAGGAGGAAUCCUAGCAGGUACACGCGCACACUUCUCCUCGGGAUAAACAGGCUCGAGGCGCAGAUUGCAGGCGCGUGCGCUCUCUGUUUAGUUUUUGUCGGUGUUGGCGGCGUGUGAGAGCAUCCCGAAGGCCCGACGCGGCGGAGCGUCGCCGCUGCACUCUAAACUGUUUGGACUCAUCUAAAUAUUUCCUCUCACAGCAGGAGGCUGCGCACUGCCGAGGAUGUAGAUGAUAGCACUAUGAUGAUGAUGGUGAUGGUGAUGAUGAUGUCUCGUGCCCGGUGAUGGCGCGCGCAGCCCUCCCAUUUUCUCUCGUGGAAGUGAAAGACUGAAAGGCUCGAAAGUUGACAGCUCUUCCAGGCAAUUCUUUACGGGAACUCAAUCCACUUCCACCGCAGCGCGGGCCGCCCCGCACAGAUAAGUCUCGUCGUUUGAUUUUGCGGCUGCAAACACUCCUGAUAUUUGAUUUGCUUAAUAGAAGAAAAAAAAAAAGUUGCGGUGAAGUUUUGGCUUCAAGAUGACAGAGAUCUAACAAGAAAGAGGUUGGAAGUUUUUUUUUCUUCUUUUAUGUUUUUUUUUUUUAAAGUUUGCUCACUUAUCGCGUUGGCUAUUGCGGUUUGUGUUUAUUUGCGUGUUCGUUUGCACACUUUUCGCUGAAGAAUUGCGCAUGUGUUGUGGAGGAAAGCCGCCGCAAACUCCCAUGUAUCUGCGCCGCUUCUCAUGCAACAGUCCAGCUGACCGCUCCCCCCUCCCCCGGAUCUCCCAACCAACCAACACCACCUCCCCCCGAGGAGAACCCCUUCAAGAGGACUCUCAGCUCGGAGUCGCCGGUGUCGCCACGCCACGCAUGACGGACACGGCCCAAGGAAGGAGAGGACAAAACAAGGUUCAGUUCUGAACCGAGCAGGCUCUGCAGCGGGGAUGAGAGCACGGGAAAAGCAUAUCCGUCUCCGGCGUCUGGCUGAUGACUUCAUCAGGUAAGAGCAACAGGGAGCUGAACGGUGAAAGAGCUUGAAUGUCUAUGUAUGUGCAUGAGCAAGUGUGAGUGUAUUACGGCUCAGUGCUAAAAGUCUGAAUGGUUUUUAUUAACACAGUACACACCCAGACACCAAAGUCCUGAAUUGUCUUAAUAAAGGCACAUGUUUAAUCUCUCCAUCUCUACAUUAGUAAGGUGCAGGCUCAGCACUUUGAACGAUGCGACGUAGUGAAUCUACUUGAACUAAAAUUAGAAAAGGAAAAUGGCCUCACUGAAAACCACAAUCCUUGCUGUAAACUCAUUACUUUUAUGUAACAUAAAACCACAGAGUACUCAGAGAAAACCCACACAGGCACACAGAGACCCACUCAAACUCAGCUUCGAAAUAAAAGUAAAUCAUCACAGCAGAGUGACGGCCACGCCUCUAUAUCAGGAGCUCAGCCCCUGCAUUUGCCUUCACCUUAAAGUUUAAGGUAAAUUUAUGUACCCUUGGCUUUCAGAAGUUAUUUUCUGCCUUUAAAAUGAUUUAUAAAAAAACAAAAAACACCCCACAGAAGUUACUUCAAGAACCAUUUCUCUACAGGGUGCUAUUCCGAGAGCUGGAACUUUACAAACUGAAAUGACAACCUGUGAGUUUGUAAAGUAUAUACUGUAAAUGAGCUUAAUAUUUUAUUAUAUACUUUUAAUAAUCAAAACCACUCACCUACAUGUUUGACACCUAGAAUGUAUGGUCAGGUUUGGACAUUAACAGGCACACAUGAAGACCAGAAGGACAUUGUAAAUAAUUUCUUUUGCAAGAAGCUGUUAUGUCUAGAUUGGGACCUUAUAAGUGGUGACAUCACAACGGUGUACCAGACAGUGUGUGGUGUGUCUGUCAAUGUGAGUGAAGGUCACCAGACACACAGGGUGCCGUGCAGACUCAUAAGACCACACUGCCCGCUUUUGGAGGAUUAAAGGGGGUCACACAUUUGGUUUGCAUUUGGCUGAGUGGUCAAAUACUACAAUCGAUCACUAUUAUGGGCACACUCAUGUCAGUGAUCCAAGAUAGAAACUAACGGGUACAUCAUAGCACCCAUAUGUGAUGUCAUCUAAUUUUUAAAAGUUUAUUUUCAGACAUUUUAUAAAGAAAUUGAACCCUCUACGUGGUUCCACAUAGAAACAUUUACCAGUUUUUAAAAUUACUUCAAUCUAAGCUCAGAUUUACAAUAUUAAAUAAUAAGUUACAAUAGUUGAUCAGUAAUCAAACAUAAAGGCAAAAUGUAAAUAACAGUGAAAAACAAAAUCCACAACAUGACUUAGUAGCUUGUAGAGUCGCAGUAACUUUCCAAGGUCGACUUCUGCAUGAAUAUUUGCUCAUUUUUCUAUGUAAGACAUUGUUUCAUUGGUUGCAAGAACCGGUUCUGGCCCAGCUUUAGCUUCACUAAUGAUGACCUCACAUUUGACUGUGCAAUAGUAUAAUGCGGAGUUUAUGGUCUUCUCACUGACUAACCUUAACCCAAAUCAUCAGCCCUCCACUACCGUGUUUAUCAGUUGGAGCAGUGUUUGGUUUUCUGCUUGGUGCAUAACGGCUGAUCACCUUGGUCAUGUCUGUCCAAAUGAUGGUUUAGAUCCAUUCAGGCAAAAGCUGCAAACCAAAGCAGCCAAUCAUCAAAGAUAUACUGGUGUUUUUCCAGUUGCACAUUCUGACCUUGGGGAAGACUUGGUAGAACAUCUACCCUUGAGAAAAUUGUCAAGCAUUUUAAAGAUUUUUUUUCCAUACUGAAUGCUGGUUGUGAUGGACUUGGUAUUGUUUGGUAUUGUUUGGAAGUGACGUCAUCAUCUGAUUUCUUCACCCUCAUACCCCAACAGAUGGAGAGUUGAUUCUCUAUGGUCAUUGCUAAUGUAUUUCCUUCCAGGUCUUUUAGAAAGAAAGAACUUCCUUUACUUUACAAGUUCAAGUGGUUGCAUGUAUAAACCUUUCCUGGGUUCUAAAACAAUUUAAUCUUAGAUACACAACAGGGGAGGCCAAACAUAGUCCUCAAGACGACUUCCUGCCAUCCUGCAACUUUUAGGUGCAUUCCUGCUCCACCAUACCUCAAUCAAAUGAAUGGCUCAAUGUCAGGCUGAUGAGGGGAUUCAGUCAUUUGAUUACGGUGUGUUGGAGCAAGAAUUCAUUUAAAAGUUGCAGAAUUGUAUAAAUCAAUGACCGGACAAGGUCUGACUUACAACAUUACACAAGAAAUUCCAGACUGUUAUUGAAGAUGAAACAAAUAUGAAGGCAAAAUGGAAAUAUGUUACAGCUGAUGUUUUUUUUCUUUCCGGACAUCAUAUUGAUCACAUCAUAUUGAUCGCAUCAUAUUGAUCACUCUACAUAUGUUCGAGAGCAAUAAACUGUUCAUAGAAUCUUUUUUUAGGUUCUGAGACUUGCUGAUGUUCUAUUCAAGUGCAUUUCAUGAGCAGCGUCUGACUGCUAAUUUGUCUUUUAAAACCUACAGAAGCAGUCGGGUUGUGCUUAAUUUUUCCCAUUUUUUCCUAUUUUGCCAUGAUUUUUUUUCUUACUAAGAGAAGACUUUGUACACCUAUGGCGGGAUUGAAAUUAUUUCAGACUCUUAAUUUAUUUACUGCAUUCUGAUAUACAGUAGUUAAACCUGGAGUUAAAAGAGGUGUACUUUCUUUUUAUUGCCAUGUGCAAAUGUUGGUGGGAUAGUUAUGCCACUGCAUGGAAAACGCUUCUUCACUCCUGACUCUGCACUCCUGAUAAGUUGAAAAGGCUAAAAGGUCACAACCUUAGAGGGGAAUGUUUUACAAUGACAUGGCCAGGGAGGUCUAAUUGGGCUCCACUGGAGCAUGCUGCUGGCAACUUCACACCCAGCCAGGGAGGAGGAGAGAGACACCCAAAGCAAAACCCGGUGAGAAAGAGGAAGGGGAAGAAGAAUGGCAAUGCAGGUUUGUGUGUGGUGAGGUUCAUCGACCACUGAUAUGGAAGGGUGGAGGCAGGGGCUGUAAAUAAGUCUUCAGGGUAGAUGGAUGGUCAGCAGUAGUUUCAGAGAGCGUCAUCCUCCCUUGUCUUCCUUUUAGGAAAUCCAGCAAAGAAUCAAGAUGAAGGCAGAGGAGCUCUCUGAUUUUUAUCUGAGAUUUUUCUUUCACACCAAACCCUGAAGCCACAAAAUGCUCAGACUGCGUAUAUUUUAGACAAAGAUCUGCUCAAUGCAAAUAUUAUCCAUAUGUAUAAAACAUAUUCCAGGAACUUCAACAAAAUUAUAAAUUAAUUUCUUGUGUGUCUCAAUCAAGUUUUGUUCAGACAAUUUCCGCUUUAAUAAGUGAGAAGAAACAGAUUUAUCAACCAUUUUUAAUCUUUUAAAUAUUUAGAAAACCAAGUAUUCUUUUUUUCACUGACA